CCAAAGCCACAGCUGCAGCAAACAGAUUUCACAAUGCAGGUUGGGAAGUCCGGAGGGCUCUGUAGACAUGAGACAGCCCUGAGGCGAGCUGGGGAGUCAGAAGGGUAGGGAGGGGAGGUGCAGUCCUGAAAGGGCAGCAGCCAGGAGUUCACCCAACAGGCCAGUGCAGCAGGGUGUCAGGUUCUCUGCCACACCCAGUGUGGCCUCUGCUGUGACUUCUUUUUCACCUUCUGAGGAAAGAAACACUGUCGUCUUCUCUCUGCCUGUCAUUCUCACACCUGUCGGGGCCCCUGGCAGUAAGGCACCAGUGCUGUCCCAUCCCAUGUCACGUGUGUUGGUUGUCUAUGUUAUAAACCGCGGUGGAGAGGGACUUUCUGAGGCUUAGAAAAAAGUAAAUCCCCAAACUAUUUUGGGGAGAUAGUUUUCCUUUUUAGCCCCCUUUUUCAUGUUUUUGUUUUCUCUCUCUUCCUCUCUUUGCAAUUAAAAAAUUGUAAGAGGGACCAGGUGAGCACGGGGAAGGGAUUCCCCAAGAAGACACCUCGGUCCCUCCUGGCAGCUGACUUGCAUUUGGUUUCUGCCCAGAAGAUCCGAGCCACUGUAGCAGCCUGAGCUGCCGGGCCAGAGAAAUGUGUUGUGCCUGUGGACACAGGACCCAUUUUAACUGCCUUCGGCCUUGGUCCUUCCUGAACACAAUGAAGUGGACUUAUUUGCAUCACGGUUUUGUGCUCUGGCUCAUGGUUCUGAAACUUUUUGUUUCUAGUCUUUUGUUCCAGACGGGGUAGCGAGGCAUGAGAGCACUGUUUGGUUGAAGGUCAAAGGCGAGGCAGCCCUAACCAGGCCUCAGGAGCGUGUGUCUCUACCUGUCAGGCAGUCUUUCUCCUCAGACAGCUCAGCCGCCUCUUCUUGGCACAGUCCAAGGAUCCAGUCGGGUGUUCCAGGAGUCAGGCGUAUGUGAGGCUCCUCUCCCCAUUAGCUGCGGAUGCCACCCCCAGAGCUCUGCUCCAGGAAUGGGUUCGUCCAGAGGCCCCACCGAAAGGGAACUGGCUCGGCCACCUCCCCGAGGGACCCAAGCUGAGGGUCCUUAACUCAUGCUCCACUGACCUCCACCCCAGACAGAGUAGUGCUCACUUAGCUCCGUGCUGCUUCAGAACUACCCGGCCACCUCCUGGGGCUGCUGGAGAUGGCAGGGAGAGACGGAGGAGGCCCCACCUCUCUGGGGCAGUGGGGAAAGCUGUUGCUCAGAAGUUGAGCUGGAAGUUCAGAUCGACCCUGCUUCAGCCUUUCUCCAGACUUGGAAAAGUACAGAAUGGGCAGCUUCUCCUCACAGAUCCCAAAAGACAUGCCUCCCUGCUCUUGGGGGAGGCCCAGCCUGGACACAGGCCAUGCCUGCCCUGCCAGAGCCACGCUCUUCACUUCCAUGCUGCUGGGCAAGAGGAGGAAGGCCGGCGGAUAGCAGCAUCCUAGCAAGUCAGGCAGCACAGGAGGUACCAAGCUGCCCUUUGCCUGCCCGGUGCAGAAGGAGGAGGUCUGGGCCACACGAGGACGUGAGCUUCUGGGUGGCCCCUCAACUCUGGCGCAGCUUCCCCAUCUGUAAAGUGGGACCAAUAACAACAUCUGUCCUGCUCACUUGACAAGGUUUGUGUGAGGCCAGCUGAGCUUCCCGAGCAUGUGACAAGACUGGGGAGUGGCUCAGGCCACCCAGAUCGGGGUUUCGGCAGAAGGGUGCUUACAGUGAUUAGCAGCAAAGCAAGGCCUGAGGUUGGGGCUGCCCCUGAGGGUGGCCUUAGCAGUGCCCACCUGUAGCUGAAGAGUGCCCCGGGCCUCCCACUGCUAAUACGCUGUCCAGCCGGUGGGUGUGGCCCAUCUGGGCUCCAGCGGGAAUGGGCAGCCUGCCCUUAGCUGCUGCCUGGGGUGGUUCAGCUCCUGUCCUAUUUUUUUUGUCUGUUUGGUUUGGCAGGUGCAGAAACAGGGGCCCGGAAGGUGUCCUGUAGGCCUUCCGGGGAUCCUCCAACUGCCCAGACGGAGGUGGUGAUGCUUUUGCAUCCCUUUCUCAGCCUGAGUACUCAAGCAGUGCUGCUUUAGGUGUCUCCUGCCACGGGAUUUGUCCUGGUGUGCUGCUGAGUCACCCGCUGGCCAUCCAGGGAGAGAGGCAUCUAGGAG
ensembl:lincRNA